rnacentral:tRNA from 1 species
GGAGGGAUAGCGAAGCGGCCAAACGCGGCGGACUGUAAAUCCGCUCCCUACGGGUUCGAAGGUUCGAAUCCUUCUCCCUCCACCA